UACGUAGGGUGCAAGCGUUACUCGGAAUUACUGGGCGUAAAGCGUGCGCAGGCGGUUUUGUAAGUCUGUCGUGAAAUCCCCGGGCUCAACCUGGGAAUUGCGAUGGAGACUGCAAGGCUAGAAUCUGGCAGAGGGGGGUAGAAUUCCACGUGUAGCAGUGAAAUGCGUAGAGAUGUGGAGGAACACCGAUGGCGAAGGCAGCCCCCUGGGUCAAGACUGACGCUCAUGCACGAAAGCGUGGGGAGCAAACAGG
rnacentral:rRNA from 1 species